UACAGAGGUGGCAAGCGUUGUUCGGAAUUACUGGGCGUAAAGGGCGCGUAGGCGGCCUUCUAAGUCAGACGUGAAAUCCCCCGGCUUAACCUGGGAACUGCGUCUGAUACUGGAAGGCUUGAGUGCGGGAGAGGGAUGUGGAAUUCCAGGUGUAGCGGUGAAAUGCGUAGAUAUCUGGAGGAACACCGGUGGCGAAGGCGGCAUCCUGGACCAACACUGACGCUGAGGACCGAAAGCCAGGGGAGCAAACGGG
rnacentral:rRNA from 1 species